rnacentral:rRNA from 1 species
UACGUAGGGCGCGAGCGUUGUCCGGAUUUAUUGGGCGUAAAGAGCUCGUAGGCGGCUUGUCGCGUCGACUGUGAAAACCCGCGGCUCAACUGCGGGCCUGCAGCCGAUACGGGCAGGCUAGAGUUCGGUAGGGGAGACUGGAAUUCCUGGUGUAGCGGUGAAAUGCGCAGAUAUCAGGAGGAACACCAAUGGCGAAGGCAGCUCGCUGGAACGGUACUGACGCUGAGGCGCGAAAGCGUGGGGAGCGAACAGG